UAUCAAUAAGCGGAGGAAAAGAAACCAACAGGGAUUGCCUCAGUAACGGCGAGUGAAGCGGCAACAGCUCAAAUUUGAAAUCUGGCUUCGGCCCGAGUUGUACUUUGUAGAGGAUGCUUCUGGCGACGCGCCUUCCGAGUCCCCUGGAACGGGGCGCCGAAGAGGGUGAGAGCCCCGUACGGUUGGACGCCGAGCCUGUGUGAAGCUCCUUCGACGAGUCGAGUAGUUUGGGAAUGCUGCUCUAAAUGGGAGGUAAAUUCCUUCUAAAGCUAAAUACCGGCCAGAGACCGAUAGCGCACAAGUAGAGUGAUCGAAAGAUGAAAAGCACUUUGGAAAGAGGGUUAAAAAGUACGUGAAAUUGCUGAAAGGGAAGCGCUUGCGACCAGACUCGCGCCUGGCGGAUCAUCCAGCGUUCUCGCUGGUGCACUUCGCCUGGCACGGGCCAGCAUCGGUUCGGCGGGGGGGAUAAAAGCCCGGGAAACGUAGCUCCCUCCGGGGAGUGUUAUAGUCCCCCGCCCAAUGUUCCCUGCCGGACCGUGGACCGCGCCUUCGUGCAAGGAUGCUGGCGUAAUGGUCGUUAGCG
rnacentral:rRNA from 1 species